UACGUAGGGGGCGAGCGUUGUCCGGAAUCAUUGGGCGUAAAGAGCGUGUAGGUGGCUUGGAAAGUCUUACGUGAAAGCCUGCGGCUCAACCGCAGAAGUGCGUAGGAAACUUCCUCGCUAGAGUCCGGAAGAGGAGAGCGGAAUUCCUGGUGUAGCGGUGGAAUGCGCAGAUAUCAGGAGGAACACCCGUGGCGAAGGCGGCUCUCUGGGACGGUACUGACACUGAGAGACGAAAGCUAGGGGAGCGAAUGGG
rnacentral:rRNA from 1 species